CCCCUCUCAGGGUCAUACCUGGAGAGUUUCCAGUACUCUUCCAGUCACGACUACAGGUGGGAGAGUAAGCAGAGGCAUACCCACUCCAUUCCUGGCUUGGGUAGUGGCUAGUGAGUGGAAGGCAAUCUGCUACAAAU